AUUCCUGCACUCCCUUUUUCUGCUCUGCUUGGAGAGGUGGGUGAUGGCUGGAGAUGACUUCAGAUUGAUGAGGGAACUAAGUGUUGGGGGUUCAACAAAAAAGAACCUGUUAAAGUGGCCUAAAACCCAGCUACAAGGUCUCCUCUCCACUCCUAGAUGAAAAAAAUGAAUGUAAACCGGGCCCCAUCAGCUGCUUUCCAGCACUUUAUUUUACUCUGCUCUGGGAUCUGAUUCUCAGAGGGUCUCCUUUCCUCUUUGUAUGGACUUCCUGGAAGGAGUGAAACAUCUAAAAGAACCCCUGAAGGACCACAUCUACAAAUUCCUGCAUUAGAGACAGAGUCCCCAACACGGAGGAAUUGGGGAGAAUUAAAACUUCAGGAUUUAGGAAGCCUUUGACUGUAAUCUCAAUCCUGGGGGCCUGUGCUGCUGCCUCAGCUUUCUCACUAGAAUUCCCUCUGCGGAUCCUCUUCUGUCUUCUCUGGACAGUUCUCUUUCUCCCACCUCCCUGGAGCCAUGCUCCUCCAAGCAGAGAAGGGCAGCUCUACAGAAGUCCCUCCUGUGGGACUGGAGGCUUCUUCAAAGCCAGAGAGCACUGCAGGUGGUGUCAGGGUUAGGUUACUGUCAGCCCACCGCAGUCUAGACUCACCUGGGAAGAGUCUCUGUGAAAGGCACGGGCAUGCCUGUGAGGAAUGGCUAUUACCUGAGAAGACUCAGACUACCAUCACCAUUCUCCUAGGUUGGGGCCUUGGACUGUGUCAGAGUAGAGACA